UACGAAGGGGGCUAGCGUUGCUCGGAAUUACUGGGCGUAAAGGGCGCGUAGGUGGCGCGGGAAGUCAACGGUGAAAGUUCGGGGCUCAACCCUGAAUCGGCCGUCGAUACUCCCGGGCUCGAGCACUGUAGAGGCAGAUGGAAUUCCGGGUGUAGCGGUGGAAUGCGUAGAGAUCCGGAAGAACACCGGUGGCGAAGGCGGCCUGCUGGGACAGUGCUGACGCUGAGGCGCGACAGCGUGGGGAGCAAACAGG
rnacentral:rRNA from 1 species